UAUCUCAAAGAAAUAAUCUAUAGCUGAAACAAGUGAUCUUAAAAAUAAUAGUAACAGAAGCCUUGUACAAUAUUGCAACAAUAUCUGAGUUUUCAAUGUGAUACUGUUACGUUAACUCUAUGCAUAUUUUGCCUGUGUAAAAUAGAGAAUGGUGAUUGCAGCGUAAGAUGUUAAAGUGAUCAAUAAUGAUGUACAACAUGUCCCGGAAAACCAAUAUUUAAUGAAAAUUAAUAAAAUCUUAACAAACCAAAGUAAACUGUUCAUAAUUCCAAAAUAUUUAAUUGAACAUAAAUUGAUUAUUAUCUUUAAAUAAGCCUUCUUAAUAAAUGAGUGUUUUAAAAUU